GAGUUUGAUCCUGGCUCAGGAUGAACGCUGGCGGCGUGCUUAACACAUGCAAGUCGAGCGAAGCACUUAAGUCUGAUUCUUCGGAUGAAGACUGUUGUGACUGAGCGGCGGACGGGUGAGUAACGCGUGGGUAACCUGCCUCAUACAGGGGGAUAACAGUUAGAAAUGACUGCUAAUACCGCAUAAGAUUGUAGUUUCGCAUGGAGCAGCAAUCAAAGGAGCAAUCCGCUUUGAGAUGGCCUCGCGUCCGAUUAGCUAGUUGGCGGGGUAACGGCCCACCAAGGCGACGAUCAGUAGCCGGACUGAGAGGUUGAACGGCCACAUUGGGACUGAGACACGGCCCAGACUCCUACGGGAGGCAGCAGUGGGGAAUAUUGCACAAUGGGGGAAACCCUGACGCAGCGACGCCGCGUGAGUGAAGAAGUAUUUCGGUAUGUAAAGCUCUAUCAGCAGGGAAGAAACUGACGGUACCUGACUAAGAAGCACCGGCUAAAUACGUGCCAGCCGCCGCGGUAAUUC
rnacentral:rRNA from 1 species